rnacentral:rRNA from 1 species
ACGAACGCUGGCGGCGUGCUUCACCCAUGCAAGUCGAACGGAAAGGCCCUGCUUUUGUGGGGUGCUCGAGUGGCGAACGGGUGAGUAACACGUGAGUAACCUGCCCUUGACUUUGGGAUAACUUCAGGAAACUGGGGCUAAUACCGGAUAGGAGCUCCUGCUGCAUGGUGGGGGUUGGAAAGUUUCGGCGGUUGGGGAUGGACUCGCGGCUUAUCAGCUUGUUGGUGGGGUAGUGGCUUACCAAGGCUUUGACGGGUAGCCGGCCUGAGAGGGUGACCGGCCACAUUGGGACUGAGAUACGGCCCAGACUCCUACGGGAGGCAGCAGUGGGGAAUAUUGCACAAUGGGCGGAAGCCUGAUGCAGCAACGCCGCGUGCGGGAUGACGGCCUUCGGGUUGUAAACCGCUUUCGCCUGUGACGAAGCGUGAGUGACGGUAAUGGGUAAAGAAGCACCGGCUAACUACGUG